rnacentral:rRNA from 1 species
AUUGCCUCAGUAACGGCGAGUGAAGCGGCAAAAGCUCAAAUUUGAAAUCUAGCACCUUCGGUGUUCGAGUUGUAAUUUGAAGAUGGUAACCUUGGGUUUGGCUCUUGUCUAUGUUCCUUGGAACAGGACGUCAUAGAGGGUGAGAAUCCCGUCUGAUGAGAUGCCCAUUCCUAUGUAAGGUGCUAUCGAAGAGUCGAGUUGUUUGGGAAUGCAGCUCUAAGUGGGUGGUAAAUUCCAUCUAAAGCUAAAUAUUGGCGAGAGACCGAUAGCGAACAAGUACAGUGAUGGAAAGAUGAAAAGAACUUUGAAAAGAGAGUGAAAAAGUACGUGAAAUUGUUGAAAGGGAAGGGCAUUAGAUCAGACUUGGUGUUUUACGAUUAUCUUCUCUUCUUGAGUUGUGCACUCGUAUUUCACUGGGCCAGCAUCGAUUCGGAUGGCAAGAUAAUGGCAGUUGAAUGUGGCUUCACUUCGGUGGAGUGUUAUAGCUUCUGCUGAUAUUGCCUGUCUGGAUCGAGGGCUGCGUCUUUUGACUAGGAUGCUGGCGUAAUGAUCUAAUGCCGCCCGUCUUGA